rnacentral:rRNA from 1 species
UGUAAAGUUCAAGCUUCUUUUUGAAAGCGAAACCGCGAAUGGCUCAUUAAAUCAGUCAUAAUCUACUUGAUUGUUUGAAAGUUAUAUGGAUAACUGUGGUAAUUCUAGAGCUAAUACAUGCACAAAUGGGGCGACUCUCUGUCAAAGGGGAGAAGCUCUGCGUUUAUUAGACUAAGACCAAUGAUGCUUCGCGCAUCUCUUAAAUAUGGUGACUCUGAGUAAAUAAUGGGUGAAAGCCCGUGAUGUCGACCUGUCUUCCCUUGCGGAAAUAGGCGAUUCAAUCGAGUGUCUGCUCUAUCAACUGUGGAUGGUAGGAUAAUCGCCUACCAUGGUGAUGACGGGUAACGGGGAGUUAGGGCUCGACUCCGGAGAACAAGCCUGAGAAACGGCUAGUAGGACUAAGGUCUGCAGCAGGCGCGAAACUUACACAAUGCUAGAUUACCAUUAGCGAUGUAGUGAAGAAAAAUAACGAUGUACUUGUAUUUAAACAUACUAGUACAAUUGGAAUGAGACGACUCUAAACCAGUUAGUCGAGUAACAAAUGGAGGGCAAGUCUGGUGCCAGCAGCCGCGGUAAUUCCAGCUCCAUUAGCAUACAUUAAAGUUGUUGCGGUUAAAAAGCUCGUAGUUGAAUUUAGCGUGGUCGUUUUAUGGUGCUUGUCCGUUAAGGGGAACGUUCGCGCUCUCUGGUCAAGUCACUUAUUAACAGCCACUGUUUCGUCACUUAAUCGAGUGCGAAGCUGGGUUUGUCAACAGUGAUCUUCGCGAUCCUGUGAGAAACCAUGUUUACCUUGAGAAAAUUAGAGUGCUCACAGCAGGCAGAUGGACUGUAAAAGGUUCUUUAUGCUUGAAUAAUGUUGCAUGGAAUAAUAGAAUACGGCCUCGGUUCUAUUCUGUUGGUCUUAUAGAACAACAAACAAGUUGGUACGGCAAUAAUGUUAUUCUGGAUACAAACGGGUCAUGUUGUCUUGGGGUCAAACCCAAGUACCAUAUCCAAUCCAUGCAAUAGCAUGCCACUCACCAACUGAGGCAAUGGUUAAAAGAAAUAGUCGCGGCGGCAUCAGUACUGCAUCGUGAGAGGUGAAAUUCUUAGACCGAUGCAAGACUAACUGAAGCGAAAGCGUUUGCCGAGGAUAUUUUCAUUAAUCAAGAACGAAAGUUAGAGGUUCGAAGGCGAUCAGAUACCGCCCUAGUUCUAACCAUAAACGUUGCCAACUAGCAAUUGGGUUGCGAUUCCUUUAGUCUGCGCUAUGCGAACGCAAGUUCCAUCCAGACCAUUAUGAUCCACCCAGCGGCUCUCGUAGGGAAACCAAAGUGUUUGGGUUCCGGGGGAAGUAUGAUUGCAAAGUUGAAACUUAAAGGAAUUGACGGAAGGGCACCACCAGGAGUGGAGCCUGCGGCUUAAUUUGACUCAACACGGGGAAACUUACUAGAUUAGAACUCUGGAAUGAUUGACAGAUUGAUAGCUCUUUCUUGAUUCAGAGGAUGGUGGUGCAUGGCCGUUCUUGAUUCGUAUUCCGAAACGUCUGCUUAAUUGCGAUAACGAGUGAGACCUCACCCAACUAACUAGUCGUUAGGUGCGCUGUGGACCGCAAAAGUGGUGGUUUGUAUGGGAGGGAGUGAAAGCUUCCAACUUGCUAGCUUACCAUGGUCUCUGCUCGCCUGCGGACUUCUUAGAGGGAUAAACGGUGUUUUAGCCGUAAGAAACGAGGCAAUAACAGGUCUGUGAUGCCCUUAGAUACUCUAGGCCGCACGCGUGCUACAAUGGCGUGUGCAGAGAGCUUGUUCGAGGUUCGUCCCAGGAGAACUAGUGGGUUGGUUUGAAUUGGGCGUUAAAACUUAGUUUAGAUCGCCUACCAAGUGACCUGGGUUCACGAGCCGAGAGAAACCGCAGCCGAAAGGUUGCGGCAAUCAAAAAUACACGCCGUGAUUUGGGAUUGGGGAUUGCAAUUGUUGCCCAUGAACGAGGAAUUCCCAGUAAGCGCAAUUCAUCAUAUUGCGUUGAUUACGUCCCUGCCCUUUGUACACACCGCCCGUCGCUACUACCGAUUGGAAGUUUUAGUGAGGCAUUUGGACCUGCUAAUCUUGAUGAGCUUUCGGGUUCUUAGGUUGGCGGGGAAGUCUGUCGAACUCAAAUUUCUAGAGGAAGUAAAAGUCGUAACAAGGUUUCCGU